GAUGAACGCUAGCUACAGGCUUAACACAUGCAAGUCGAGGGGCAUCAUGUCGGUUGCUUGCAACCGAUGAUGGCGACCGGCGAAUGGGUGAGUAACGCGUAUCCAACCUGCCCCCGGCCGGGGUAUAACCCGUCGAAAGGCGACCUAAUCCCCCAUGCAGUCCUCUGAGGUCCUCCGAUGAGGAUGAAAGGUAUUUUUCCGGCCGGUCGAUAGGGAUGCGUCCGAUUAGCUUGCUGGCGGGGUAACGGCCCACCAGGGCUUCGAUCGGUAGGGGUUCUGAGAGGAAGGUCCCCCACACUGGUACUGAGACACGGACCAGACUCCUACGGGAGGCAGCAGUGAGGAAUAUUGGUCAAUGGGCGGAAGCCUGAACCAGCCAAGUAGCGUGCAGGAGGACGG
rnacentral:rRNA from 1 species